GACGAACGCUGGCGGCGUGCUUAACACAUGCAAGUCGAACGGUGAACUCCGCUUGCGGGGGGAUCAGUGGCGAACGGGUGAGUAACACGUGGGCAACCUGCCCUCAGCUCUGGGAUAACUCCAAGAAAUUGGGGCUAAUACCGGAUAUGACCGCUGACCGCAUGGUCUGGUGAUGGAAAGAUUUAUCGGCUGGGGAUGGGCCCGCGGCCUAUCAGCUUGUUGGUGGGGUAGUGGCCUACCAAGGCGACGACGGGUAGCCGGCCUGAGAGGGUGACCGGCCACACUGGGACUGAGACACGGCCCAGACUCCUACGGGAGGCAGCAGUGGGGAAUAUUGCGCAAUGGGCGAAAGCCUGACGCAGCGACGCCGCGUGGGGGAUGACGGCCUUCGGGUUGUAAACCUCUUUCAGCAGGGACGAAGCGAAAGUGACGGUACCUGCAGAAGAAGCACCGGCCAACUACGUG
rnacentral:rRNA from 1 species